rnacentral:rRNA from 1 species
AUUUCUUAUAUAAAUCCCUGCAUUAAAAUCUCGUANUUGGAUCUCGGUAUCACUGGGUAGUGCGGAUGGGACCUUCGGCAUGGCUGCGACUCGUUCAAGGCUGUGCUGCGGGAAUUGGAAGCAAUUCGUCCCUGGUGUCACCUUUCAGCCAUGUCUGUGGUGCAAUACCCGCAGGUGUAGGCGAGUGCCAGGCGGUGCCUUGCACCAGUAAGGCCCGUCGGCUCGUCUGCAUGCCUUUAGAUGCCUUUAACUAGGUGUCUGAAGCGGAUGGCACGUUUACUUUGAACAAAUUUGAGUGCUCAAACCAGGCCGAUGUUGCCUGAAAAGUUUUGCAUGGAAUAAUGGAAUAAGACUUCGGUUCUAUUUCGUUGGUUUUCGGAUCCGAAGGAAUGAUCANAANAACCGCNGGGACUUUUGUNUGGG